CUUACACUGGAGUCCUGGCCACUGCCCCAACUGCCGUGCACACUCCUCCUGCACAACCUCAUUCCCUUCCUCAGUUUCCCCACACGCUGCUGUCUCAUUCCUUUGCAGGACUUCACAGUGACUUACCGAAUUUAACAACAGUCAACAGAUCCUCCUGGAAAAGAAAGAGAGAAGAGGCUGAGGUGCCCCUCGCAUGCAAUGAAAAGGCACCCACCUCUGAACCAGGAAGGGGGUUCUCACCAAGACGCUUUCCGUCGCCACCUUCAUCCGGGACUUCCUGGCCUCCAGAACGUUCAGAUGGGCAGCACUGAAAAAUCACAAAUCUGAGAAACCCAGGACGAUCCCAUGGGCAUGGAGAUUGCUGCAUGGGCCAGAACCCAAGGCCCAAGGGCACAGAGUUCGCCUUCUCUAGACCUUGCCAAACGCUGGCCGUCCUUCCUGGUGGCAAGUUCAGAGGAUCACGGCACACCCCCCACAGAGCAGGUGGAUCUGGCCUUCACACAUGAUGAGCUUUCUCCACGUCCUCAGCCGGGAAUGCACAGGACCCCAUGUUUCGAUGGUUUAACCUAUGAAAUGUAUGAGGAAGCCCGCCCAGGCAGACGCGGCUCCCCCAGGGCCUGGCCAAUGGCUGAGAUGGGGCACCGAAGACAAACGGGGGUGUCGGCGAGGUGCGGGGGAGCUUACCAGACAGACAGCUAUCCAGGCAGCUCUCCCGGCAGGUGUUCCCGCACCACUCUUCAGGGGUCACCCUGCCCUCGCGGUGGUGUGGCAGAAGCAUAGCCAGGUUCUAGAAUGGAGAAAGGAGCCUGAAGCAUGGGUAGGCCAGAGGAAGAGGGCGACGGACACCUCAAAGGGCAUCAUAUUCCCUGAGCAUCUCAUGCUAUGGGCUGAAUUGUGUUCUUCAGAAUCCUCAUGUUGAAACCCUAGUCCCCAAGGUAAUUUGGAGACAGGACCUAUAAGGAGAUAGUUAAUGUUACCCGAGGUCCUAAGGGUGGAACCCUGAUCUAUGAGGAUCGGCGUCCUUAGGAGGAAAGACACCAAAGAGCUUGAUUCCUCUCUCUCUCUGCUCUGUGAGGGCACAAGAAGAUGGCCCCAUCUGCAAGGUAGGAAGAGAGAUCCUACCAGGAACCGAAAUGGCCCCAACCCUUCGGUCUUGGACUUCUAGCCUCCAGAACUGUGAGAAUUCCCAGUCUGUGGCAUUUUGUUAGAGCAGCUGGAUUAGACUCAUGCAACCACCGAGAUGGUAAUUGCUGACAGAUCAGGCUGACCUUCAGUUUCCCCCCUGCUUCCAGCAAUGAAAUUUCAUCCUAGUCUCAGCGACCAUUGUGCCACAAUAUCACUUUGUGAAAAUGAUGGCAAAGGUGCCACUUGUGGAGAAUCUGCCCAGGGGAGGGAUUUCUCUGCCUCAUGCCCCCACCAGGCCAUGCCUCUGGUGAGGCCUGGAAAGCCAGGUCAGGCCCCAGCAGUUUCAUGGAAGCCAGCCCCAAGCCUGGUUGCCCCGCAGGGAAACAGGUGCUCCGGGGGAACCUAGAACCUUCCAACCAUGACUGUAACAUCGCAGAGAAUGGACUCGAGCCCUGCCUCAUCCCACCCCACCCCACUGUCCAGGACAGCACUCGUGCCAGCACGAGGGCCCCCCCGGGAGUGUUCCUCCCACAGCCAGAGUCACGGGCCACCCACUUUGCAUCCCUCUCUGCAACAAUCCUGAAAGAUAAUGUAGCUCCCAAGGACCCCAAACUUCCCAUGUUCCCCACGUCUUAGGGAGCUCGGUGUGUGAAAAGGCUGGCUCUACACGCUGGGUGUGAUUUAUAAGAAGACUCAGCAGAACGCCUUUCACUAGGCCCUUCCUUCUUUUCUAUAAAAAAUACAAGGCUUUAAAAAACUUGUGUUUUUCCUUGAAUUCCUCAAUCAAAUGUAUGCUCUGUGAGAUAAAGGAAUAGGAAGACUUGAAGCAGGUAUUGGAGUUGAUCCCACGAGAACAAGCCAGCCUUGGGCCUCGGGAACGGCUGGCUAGAGCCCACGGUAGCCACUGAGAGGGAGAGAGGGAGAGGAGAGAACGGCCGAGGGUGUCACGCACAAGGAAGCCUGGCGCUCGCGGUUCGGCAGGGCUAGCGCUCCGACCCCUCAGUCACCCUCUGAUGUCAUCUGAGCCCAUCAUGUAUCCAGUUCUGGCGGCAACCACGAGCAUUUCUGACCACAGGCAGCGUGUGCAAGGAGGCUUUGUCCCAUCUGUCCACGCCUGCCCUCUGCUUCUGCUUUUGGCCACCGAGAUCGAAAACACGCCCCCGAGCCCUACAGCCCAGGGGCCCCAAGCGACCCACACAGAUGCAUUCCGCUCAAGUUGCCAUCACAGAAAUGCACUCGUGGUGAUCCUUCCUCUGCCUCCACGAGAGUGUUGAGUGACCUGGUUCUGGGAGCCCCUUAUUUUCUCCUCGGAUCCCAGACACAAAUAAGAAUAAAGCUAGCUUACAUGCCGAGGACGUUUCUGAGCUCUGGUGCCCGCAGAAUUUCCUAGGACUGAGAACGCAAGUCUGUCAUUAUGGUAUUUGCAGAACCAGAGACUGUAUUUAAGUCUUCAAGAGGAUGCUUAUUAUAACCCCUUUCUUGGGACUCUCAUGCCAAAACACUACAUGAAUAGUCUUUUUCAAGGAAAUUUGCCAGGGAAGGCAGCAAGCAUCUGAUCACAUAGGAAUAGUUUUGGGUCGAUUUCAAGCUGUAGAGUCUAGGGGAGAAGGAAGUUUUCCUGACGGCUGCCCUGGGGAAGGAGAAUCCACACGGGGCUUGUGUAUUGCACAGGCUGCCAUUGAGGGACUGCCAUCUUCAGAAAUGAUGACCGGAACAGUGGGCCUUGGAGUUGAGCAUGGUUGACAACCUUUCCUGCCACAGGAAGUGGGUAUCCACGGAAGACACUGAAUCCUGAUUGAAAGAUUAAUGAUGGGGAAAACCGGUGCCUCAGGGGAUAGACGAAGUUUCUGAGCUCUUCUGGGGGAGAAAGCAGACACCCAAGCCGGACACAUUGAACUUCCAAAGGA